UAGGGAAUCUUCCACAAUGGGCGCAAGCCUGAUGGAGCAACACCGCGUGAGUGAAGAAGGGUUUCGGCUCGUAAAGCUCUGUUGUUAAAGAAGAACACGUAUGAGAGUAACUGUUCAUACGUUGACGGUAUUUAACCAGAAAGUCACGGCUAACUACGUGCCAGCAGCCGCGGUAAUACGUAGGUGGCAAGCGUUAUCCGGAUUUAUUGGGCGUAAAGCGAGCGCAGGCGGUUAGAUAAGUCUGAAGUUAAAGGCUGUGGCUUAACCAUAGUACGCUUUGGAAACUGUUUAACUUGAGUGCAGAAGGGGAGAGUGGAAUUCCAUGUGUAGCGGUGAAAUGCGUAGAUAUAUGGAGGAACACCGGUGGCGAAAGCGGCUCUCUGGUCUGUAACUGACGCUGAGGCUCGAAGGCGUGGGGAGCGAACAGGAUUAGAUACCCUGGUAGUCCACGCCGUAGACGAUGAGUGCUAGGUGUUAGGUCCUUUCCGGGACUUAGUGCCGCAGCUAACGCAUUAAGCACUCCGCCUGGGGAGUACGACCGCAAGGUUG
rnacentral:rRNA from 1 species